UACGGGGGGGGCAAGCGUUGUUCGGAAUUACUGGGCGUAAAGGGCUCGUAGGCGGCCAACUAAGUCGGAUGUGAAAUCCCCAAGCUUAACUUGGGAACUGCAUCCGAUACUGGAUGGCUUGAAUCCGGGAGAGGGAUGCAGAAUUCCAGGUGUAGCGGUGAAAUGCGUAGAUAUCUGGAGGAACAUCAGUGGCGAAAGCGGCUUCCUGGACCAGAACUGACGAUCAGGCUCGAAAGCGUGGGGAGCAAACGGG
rnacentral:rRNA from 1 species